AUUGAACGCUGGCGGCAGGCCUAACACAUGCAAGUCGAGCGAGCGGCGGACGGGGGAGUAAUGUCUGGGAAACCGCCUGAUGGAGGGGGAUAACUACUGGAAACGGUAGCUAAUACCGCAUACCAUCAGAUGUGCCCAGGUGGGAUUAGCUAGUAGGUGGGGUAACGGCUCACCUAGGCGACGAUCCCUAGCUGGUCUGAGAGGAUGAACAGCCACACUGGAACUGAGACACGGUCCAGACUCCUACGGGAGGCAGCAGUAGGGAAUAUUGCGCAAUGGGCGCAAGCCUGAUACAGCCAUGCCGCGUGUGUGAAGAAGGCCUUCGGGUUGUAAAGCACUUUCAGCGGGGAGGCGUUACCCACAGAAGAAGCACCGGCUAACUCCGUGCCAGCAGCCGCGGUAAUUC
rnacentral:rRNA from 1 species